rnacentral:rRNA from 1 species
AGCAGUAGCCGCGGUAAUACGAAGGGUGCAAGCGUUAAUCGGAAUUACUGGGCGUAAAGCGUGCGUAGGCGGUUUGUUAAGUCUGUUGUGAAAUCCCCGGGCUCAACCUGGGAAUGGCAAUGGAUACUGGCAAGCUAGAGUGUGUCAGAGGAUGGUGGAAUUCCCGGUGUAGCGGUGAAAUGCGUAGAGAUCGGGAGGAACAUCAGUGGCGAAGGCGGCCAUCUGGGACAACACUGACGCUGAGGCACGAAAGCGUGGGGAGCAAACAGGAUUAGAUACCCGCGUAGUCCCUGUCUCUUAUAC